ensembl:lincRNA
GUAGCACACCCAGCUUGCUGUGCAAGGCGUCUGGGAGUGCCAGACGGGUCAUUAAUUCAAAGGGGCCGUGAUGCAGACCAAGCAGCUGACUUGGUUGGGACCCCAUCAGUCUCUGCCACUGAGGGAUUGCUGGAACCCGGAGCAUCCCGGACUUGGGUUGCAGCCUGCUCUCUUUUGCCUUCAGGACAAGAAAGUGCCCGCCAGCCCCCUCCAGCUCCUUCAUCGCUCAUCCUGAAGUCUGGCCACCUUCCCUGUCCCUGUGCCGGCGGCUGGGAGCUUUCAUUCAAGUGGAAUGUAUCUGCAGACUUUUGUAGCACUUCAUUUACAUGUAUGCCAACAAGCCGAAAUGUGCAGCAACCUUGGAGCACUUUCAAAGGCGGGAAUAAUUCCUCUGAAAUAGGUCUUUGGAAAAGCUUUAUCUUGUCCUUUCUUUUUUUGUUAAAUCUUGGAGCCCCUUAGCAUGUCAAAGCAAUUUUUCUAAUGUCACAUCUCCUAGACAUUAGCAUGAAAGGGCUUUAAGAGAUGAUUUGAGAAAGAAUAAAUGUUGAAUGAGCAUUUAUUAUAGAGUCGUUUAUGCUACAUUUGCAUUUUGACUCUAUUUCUGCAAGGCAGCCUGAGAAGCAAGCUGAUUUGAAAGUCAAUGGUGUCUAAAUAGGCGAGGCUAAGACUGUUUACACUGGGCUGUUUCCUCCUCACAUUCAUUUACAGAAAGAGAAAAUUUCAUUGGGCUGAUUUGUUUUCAGAAAUGAGAUUAAGUGGAGCUUGUGUGCCUUAAUGCAGAGGUGGAAUCUCACCAGAAUUGACCCAGUAGUGGGAAGAUCGUGGGGUAAAGCCUGGAGAAGUCCUUUCUAAGCCCCAAUUUCUCUCUCUGCACCUUAAGAAAACUAAU